rnacentral:lncRNA from 10 species
GAGGUCACCUGCCCUGCCCAGCAGCCGCAUGGAGAUCACCCAGUAGCCCUCAGGAGUCGGGGCUCCCACUUGUGAACCGGGAGCUCAGCUGAGACUCUCUGCGUGGCCAACCCUCUCCAGAGACCGGCUCCACCGCCAGCCAGAUUGGAUGCUGAGCGUGUCCACACAGCACGCACUCACUGGGACUCAGCGUGCUGGGACUCAGCUCCCCGCCGCCCAGUCCCUCGGGCCUAGAGGUCCACGAGGCGAGACAGACCCAAAGAGAGAGGCAAGGACGUGGGCGUUGGUCGGUCUUGCGGGGAGGAGGUGCCGUGCUCUCCCCACUUCCUGACCCAGCAGAAAGCGCCCGGGCGUGUCCAGAUAAACCGCGCCUUAAUCGAGGCGCCAUUCCGGCCCGGAACAGGCCAGGCCCAGCCAGCCUAACCCACCUGGGGACGCCCCUCGGACCCUCCCGGGGCGGGGUCCUCACUCCCGACCAGGACCUCUGUCUCUGCAUCUGCGAAGUGGGCGCCCCCAGGCCUGUGCUCCCCCCACCCACCUGUCGUCUCGUCUCGGCUUUCAGGGUGCAGAGUGGACACUCCCAGGUGUCCAAGCCGGCGAGCUCGGGUCCCGCAGAACCGGCGGCCCUGGAGACGCCCCGAGGGCAGCCCCGCUGCAGCCUUGCUCGGGUCCCCUAGCCCGGCGCCUCCGCAAACCAACCCACCGCGGGCCGCCGAGCCCCGCUCCGGGAUCCGCCGGCUGCCUCCAUCCCAGAAGAGUGCGCAGAGAAUUAAAUCUAGAUAUUUACAUGUUUAAUGGCUAAAGGAGCCUGUCUUCUGGCAGGGCAGGGAGGGCGCUCAGGUGGUUUAACUCAGCGCCGGGAUCCCGCUCAGCUGCGGGGGCCGCGAACCCCGCCGCUGGGCCGACGAUUGGGCCCCUCCGGAGCGCGGCGCCCAACGCGGGUUUCGUUGCGUCGGGGAAGUCCGUGGCCUGCAGCGUCCAGUCCCCAGGCUGUCAGCCGAGCCCUGGAGUGGGGCGUUCUCCAGGCCCCCAACCCCUGAUCCAGGCCGUUCCCCUCCCGCGCACCCUCCGGCGGGGGCUGCAGCCCGCGCCCCUCGCCGCCAAGCCCCAUUUUCCCACAGUGCAAACUGCAGCAAACGAACUGGUUUUCUCCUGAGCGCACGCUGCGGGGAGACGAUUCCAACGGCGUCCAGUGAGGAGGGGCCCAGGCCUGCGAGACGGGGCGCGUUCCUGUCCCCAGACCCCUCCGGCUGCGCCUCAACCCCCAGCCCGGCUCUCUGACCUGCAUCGGUCGGGCCGGGCACAGAGGAGGCAAAGCAGGCGGAGGCCGCGAGAGGAGAGCAGCCUGACCUCCCGCCUGAGCCCGGACCCUUCCCCUCGGGCACCCUCGGACGCCCCCGCCCCAGCGUGUUACUUUCUAGAUGGGGAAACUGAGGCGCGGCCAGGGCGAUGCGGCGGAAGUCCCGCGCCCGGCCGUCUCCCGCGCCUGCCAGA